rnacentral:sRNA from 1 species
UGGUAGAUGCACCCUGAUUCAAUUCGACCUCAAUCGUUUUAACGGUUGGGGUUUUUUUG